CCUACGGGAGGCAGCAGUGGGGAAUAUUGCACAAUGGGGGGAACCCUGAUGCAGCGACGCCGCGUGGGUGAAGGAGCACCUCGGUGCGUAAAGCCCUAUCGGCAGGGAAGAAAAGCGAACAGGUUCGCCUGGACGGUACCUGACUAAGAAGCCCCGGCUAACUACGUGCCAGCAGCCGCGGUAAUACGUAGGGAGCAAGCGUUAUCCGGAUUCACUGGGUGUAAAGGGAGCGUAGACGGCGGCGCAAGUCUGGAGUGAAAGCCCGGGGCCCAACCCCGGGACUGCUCUGGAAACUGCGGCGCUGGAGUACGGGAGGGGCAGGCGGAAUGCGUGGUGUAGCGGUGAAAUGCGUAGAUAUCAGGAGGAACACCGGCGGCGAAGGCGGCCUGCUGGGCCGUGACUGACGUUGAGGCUCGAGAGCGUGGGGAGCAAACAGGAUUAGAUACCCCUGUAGUC
rnacentral:rRNA from 1 species